rnacentral:rRNA from 1 species
CCUACGGGAGGCAGCAGUAAGGAAUCUUGCGCAAUGGGCGAAAGCCUGACGCAGCGACGCCGCGUGGGCGAUGAAGGCCUUCGGGUUGUAAAGCCCUUUUCUGGGGGACGAUAAUGACGGUACCACAGGAAUAAGCCACGGCUAACUACGUGCCAGCAGCCGCGGUAAAACGUAGGGGGCAAGCGUUGUUCGGAAUUACUGGGCGUAAAGCGCGUGUAGGCGGCUUGGUAAGUCGGAAGUGAAAGCCCUCGGCUCAACCGGGGAACUGCUUUCGAAACUGCCAGGCUUGAAUGCGGGAGGGGAGAGCGGAAUUCCCGGUGUAGCGGUGAAAUGCGUAGAUAUCGGGAAGAACACCAGUGGCGAAGGCGGCCUUCUGGGCUGCCCCUGACGCUGAGGCCCGAAAGCGUGGGGAGCGAACCGGAUUAGAUACCCCUGUAGU